GUCUACCACCAUGCAACCCUGAACGCGCCUGAUCUCGUCUGAUCUCAGAAGCUAAGCAGGGUCGGGCCUGGUUAGUGCUUGGAUGGGAGACCACCUAGGAAGACCAGGUGCUGUAGGCG
rnacentral:rRNA from 1 species